AAUGAACGCUGGCGGCGUGCUUAACACAUGCAAGUCGAGCGAGGCCUGGGGGGCAACUCCCAGAGUCGAGCGGCGGACGGGUGAGUAACACGUGGGUAACCUGCCCGGAAGUGGGGAAUACCUCGGGGAAACUCGAGCUAAUACCGCAUGACAUCUCCGGGACGAAAGUCCUGGCGAUCAAAGCGGGGUCGCAAGAUCUCGCGCUACCGGAUGGGCCCGCGCCCGAUUAGCUAGUUGGNGAGGUAACGGCUCACCAAGGCUUCGAUCGGUAACCGGCCUGAGAGGGCGAUCGGUCACACCGGAACUGAGACACGGUCCGGACUCCUACGGGAGGCAGCAGUGGGGAAUCUUGCGCAAUGGGCGAAAGCCUGACGCAGCAACGCCGCGUGGAGGAUGAAGGCCCUUGGGUUGUAAACUCCUGUCGGCU
rnacentral:rRNA from 1 species